AUUGAACGCUGGCGGCAGGCCUAACACAUGCAAGUCGAACGAGUGGCGGACGGGUGAGUCAUGUCUGGGAAACUGCCUGGUGGAGGGGGAUAACUACUGGAAACGGUAGCUACUACCGCAUACCAUCGGAUGUGCCCAUAUGGGCUUAGCUAGGAGGUGGGGUAAAGGCUCACCUAGGCGACGAUCCCUAUCUGGUCUGAGAGGCUGACCAGCCAGACUCGAAUUGAGACACGGUCCAGACUCCUACGGGAGGCCGCAGUGGGUAAUAGUGCACGAUGGGCGCAAGCCUGAUGCAGCCAUGCCGCGUGUAUGAAGAAGGCCUUCGGGUUGUAAAGUACUUUCAGCGGGGAGGCGUUACCCGCAGAAGAAGCACCGGCUAACUCCGUGCCAUCAGCCGCGGUAAUAC
rnacentral:rRNA from 1 species